rnacentral:lncRNA from 1 species
UGUUGAACUAUCUAUAUCCUAAUCUAAUCUUGAUCGGAUGAAAUUAGAUGAUUGGAUUAACCCAAAUCAUUGAGUACGACUAUCCAUCAAUCUUGUCUUCCUUAAUUAUUCAUAUUCUUUCUAAUUAGUGGACUCAAUUCUAUAUAGAGGUAUAGUUGUCUUGACAAGAAGAUGUCCAACAGUGGGAUAUUGCGAUAUG